AUUGAACGCUGGCGGCAUGCUUUACACAUGCGAGUCGAACGGCAGCGCGGGCUUCGGCCUGGCGGCGAGUGGCGAACGGGUGAGUAAUGCAUCGGAACGUGCCCAGUAGUGGGGGAUAGCCCGGCGAAAGCCGGAUUAAUACCGCAUACGACCUGAGGGUGAAAGCGGGGGACCGAAAGGCCUCGCGCUAUUGGAGCGGCCGAUGUCGGAUUAGCUAGUUGGUGGGGUAAAGGCUUACCAAGGCGACGAUCCGUAGCUGGUCUGAGAGGACGACCAGCCACACUGGGACUGAGACACGGCACAGACUCCUACGGGAGGCAGCAGUGGGGAAUUUUGGACACUGGGGGCAACCCUGAUCCAGCCAUGCCGCGUGCGGGAAGAAGGCCUUCGGGUUGUAAACCGCUUUUGUUCGGGAAGAAAUCCUCUGGGCUAAUACCCCGGGGGGAUGACGGUACCGGAAGAAUAAGCACCGGCUAACUACGUG
rnacentral:rRNA from 1 species